UUAUGCUGUGCUUUUUUUUUUUUUUAUUUUUUUUUAUUGAUUGAUUUUUAUUGAAGUAAUCAGAAUCUAUUGAUGAAAACUGAUGUUGUUUUAUGUUGUGCUAUAAAAAUCAAACUUAAGUAAAGCCCGGAUGGUAGUUCCUGAAUUGUGUUGUGUAGGUUAAAUUAUUUUUUAGUUCAACUCAUGCAUUUAAAUCUGUAAAAAAAAGGAUCUAGUAUUUUUGUGAUAUUUAAUAUUGUUGACACUAGCGUAGUUAGUG